rnacentral:rRNA from 1 species
UACAGAGGAGCCAAGCGUUGUCCGGAUUGACUGGGCGUAAAGCGCACGCAGGCGGAUGCGCGCGUGGGGUGUGAAAUCUGGCCGCUUAACGGCCAGGCGCCAUCCCAUACGGCGCGUCUGGAGUGAUGCAGAGGUCGAUGGAAUUGCCGGUGUAGUGGUGAAAUGCGUAGAGAUCGGCAGGAACACCCAGGGGGAAACCAGUCGACUGGGCAUCUACUGACGCUGAGGAGCGAAAGCAUGGGGAGCGAACAGG